CAGAAGCUCCAAGUUUGCCCAUUUGGGCAGAGGGAUCCUCCUCCCAUCACCACUGGUGUGAAUCUACAGGAGGUCUGGAGAAGCACUGAAUGAGCAUGGAGAGAACGUCUGAGAGUCCCCACCGAGGAAGAGGGAGUGAAACUGACAUCUCAGAGGCACUCUUUUAUGUCAGGGUGGCUAAAACCCUGUCUUGUGUUGGACUAAGCCAUCUCAACCUCCACCACUAUGGCUGCAAGCUGCAAUUCUUCCUGAAGAUUGUUGGGAAAAUCUAUUGACUUGUUCUCAGGUGGAGCAAGAUCUGAAGCUACUGCUCAGGUCCUGCCCCAAAACCUGGGAGUCUGUUUCUCAGUGUUCUUCUGCACUCCCUAAGACUAAGAGGCUUAUGUGACUUCAAAUUCCAAAGCACUAACAGCAAUAACAAAUGUUAGGUGCUGACUGGAGUCAACUAGACAAGAUCUUCCCUUGGCUGCAGCCUGGGUAAAGCCUCUUGCCUAAAUUCAGGCUGGCAUAUGAAAUGCCAUUCUCCUUCCCUGAAGGAUAAGGCUUGUUCCAAGGGGCCUGGUACCAUCACUCCCAACUUCUGUAAGGGAAUUCUGAUGGUUCAUUGAAACUAUCUCAAAGGUAGCAUUUUCCCACUGCAAAUGUUAUGCUGCCAGUCAAGAAACCCAGUGCAGCUUUACACAGCACACUACCCCAGACACCAUGUACCCAGGGAGAUCAAUCCCCAGCCUGAAGAGGAAGAUGGGAAUGUGAUAAACUUGAGUCCCACUCUAAGCAUUUUGGACAGACAAGUGCAGCUCAGUGUUCCAUGAAUCAUUAAAUCAACCAGGUUCAAAGAGACCUGUAAGAUCAUC